rnacentral:rRNA from 1 species
UACGUAGGGGGCAAGCGUUGUCCGGAAUCAUUGGGCGUAAAGAGCGUGUAGGCGGCCCGGUAAGUCCGCUGUGAAAGUCCAGGGCUCAACCCUGGGAUGCCGGUGGAUACUGUCGGGCUCGAGUCCGGAAGAGGCGAGUGGAAUUCCUGGUGUAGCGGUGAAAUGCGCAGAUAUCAGGAAGAACACCUAUGGCGAAGGCAGCUCUCUGGGACGGUACUGACGCUGAGACGCGAAAGCGUGGGGAGCGAACAGG